UGGUAAUGCCGGAUGUUCCACAUGAUCGCAUGUGAUUGUGGGAAAGAUUCUAUCGGCGUGGGAUGGGGUCGCGUCCUAUCAGCUUGUUGGUGAGGUAACGGCUCACCAAGGCUUCGACGGGUAGCCGGCCUGAGAGGGCGACCGGCCACAUUGGGACUGAGAUACGGCCCAGACUCCUACGGGAGGCAGCAGUGGGGAAUAUUGCACAAUGGGCGCAAGCCUGAUGCAGCGACGCCGCGUGAGGGAUGGAGGCCUUCGGGUUGUAAACCUCUUUUGUUUGGGAGCAAGCCUUCGGGUGAGUGUACCUUUCGAAUAAGCGCCGGCUAACUACGUGCCAGCAGCCGCGGUAAUACGUAGGGCGCAAGCGUUAUCCGGAUUUAUUGGGCGUAAAGGGCUCGUAGGCGGCUCGUCGCGUCCGGUGUGAAAGUCCAUCGCUUAACGGUGGAUCUGCGCCGGGUACGGGCGGGCUGGAGUGCGGUAGGGGAGACUGGAAUUCCCGGUGUAACGGUGGAAUGUGUAGAUAUC
rnacentral:rRNA from 1 species